rnacentral:lncRNA from 1 species
AGUAGAUUAAAAGUCUUAGUGUUUUAGUCUUGAGUUUUGCUUUGUGUCACCCCCGAUGUAUUCAAGCUCGUGAGCCAUAUAAUAAAGAGUGUCUUAGUUGAAGGGCUUUGCCUCUUGCCAUGAUCAAAAGAGUGAGAGUAGAACAAAAGCAUGAAAGAUCAUGUAAUGAUCUUAUGGGAACUGAUGGCUUCACAUAUAAAAAGAAUGAGG